UACAGAGGGGGCGAGCGUUGUUCGGAAUCACUGGGUGUAAAGGGUGCGUAGGCGGUCAGUUAAGUCUGAUGUGAAAGCCCGCGGCUUAACUGCGGGCUUGCGGUUGAUACGGGCGGGCUAGAGUUCGGUAGGGGAGACUGGAAUUUCUGGUGUAGCGGUGAAAUGCGCAGAUAUCAGGAGGAACACCGGUGGCGAAGGCGGGUCUCUGGGCCGAUACUGACGCUGAGGAGCGAAAGCGUGGGGAGCGAACAGG
rnacentral:rRNA from 1 species